rnacentral:misc_RNA from 1 species
UUUCCGUAGGUGAACCUGCGGAAGGAUCAUUAACGAGUUAGGGUCUUCCAGGCCCGACCUCCCAACCCUAUGUUUAUUGAACCUCUGUUGCUUCGGCGGACCCGCCUCACGGCCGCCGGAGGACCGCUGCAAGGCGUCCUCUGGCCAGCGUCCGCCGAUGGCCAACCACUUAAACUCUGAAUGAAUCGUGUCAUAUGUCUAAGUCUGUGAUUAAAUUAAAGCAAAACUUUCAACAACGGAUCUCUUGGUUCUG